rnacentral:lncRNA from 1 species
UAGUCUCUAAUGAGCCAAAAAUUUGUACUUUGCCAUAUCCAAAUAUUCAAUCAAAAAGAUUGCAUGAGAAAUCUAGAUUCUCUGAGCUGUGCAGAUUAAUUUACUUAUAUAAUCUUUCAACUUGAGGCUAAUGUAAUAUCAUUUACUUAGAAAUUGCUCAUGGUGGAAGCCUUCAGCUCAAAAACAUAUCAAGCCAUGUGCAUCACACAAUUUAUGCUGUUAGUGGA